rnacentral:misc_RNA from 1 species
AACCAUAGAAACCUGCGGAGUACCUGCGGAGGGAUCAUUACCGAGUGCGGGUCCCCUCGCGGGGCCCAACCUCCCACCCGUGUCUACCGUCACCUGUUGCUUCGGCGGGCCCGCCUUCGUGCCGCCGGGGGGCCCUCUGCGCCCCCGGGCCCGCGCCCGCCGAAGACUCUAGGAACACUGAAUGAAGGAUGCCGUCUGAGUCAGACGACACAAUCGUUAAAACUUUUAACAACGGAUCUC